ACGGCUGUGGUCUAAUGGUAUGACCCGAGCUUCCCAAGCUCGUGGCCCGGGUUCGAUUCCCGGCAGCCGUA
rnacentral:tRNA from 1 species